rnacentral:lncRNA from 1 species
UAGAAUCAAUCUAGAGGACUUCAAAAUUAACAAAAAAAAAAACCAGGCUAUCUAUUCAAUAUUGAUCCAUGCUUGAAGAAUCAAUAGAGGUCGAAAAACAUAACUUGCUCAAAAUCAAUUGAAACCCUAGUGAAGAAAUGGUAGGAGGAGGAGGAGGAGCUGAUGACCUUUGCCUUUCAAUCAAAACCCUAGUGCAAAAAGGAUAGGAGGAGAUGAGGAGGAGCUGGUGGUCUGAAAAGGGAG